rnacentral:rRNA from 1 species
AUUGAACGCUGGCGGCAGGCCUAACACAUGCAAGUCGAGCGGAUGAAGGGAGCUUGCUCCUGGAUUCAGCGGCGGACGGGUGAGUAAUGCCUAGGAAUCUGCCUGGUAGUGGGGGAUAACGUCCGGACACGGGCGCUAAUACCGCAUACGUCCUGAGGGAGAAAGUGGGGGAUCUUCGGACCUCACGCUAUCAGAUGAGCCUAGGUCGGAUUAGCUAGUUGGUGGGGUAAAGGCCUACCAAGGCGACGAUCCGUAACUGGUCUGAGAGGAUGAUCAGUCACACUGGAACUGAGACACGGUCCAGACUCCUACGGGAGGCAGCAGUGGGGAAUAUUGGACAAUGGGCGAAAGCCUGAUCCAGCCAUGCCGCGUGUGUGAAGAAGGUCUUCGGAUUGUAAAGCACUUUAGGUUGGGAGGAAGGGCAGUAAGUUAAUACCUUGCUGUUUUGACGUUACCAACAGAAUAAGCACCGGCUAACUUCGUG